rnacentral:rRNA from 1 species
AUUGAACGCUAGCGGGAUGCUUUACACAUGCAAGUCGAACGAGUGGCGGACGGGUGAGUAAUAUAUCGGAACGUGCCCAGUAGCGGGGGAUAACUACUCGAAAGAGUGGCUAAUGCCGCAUACUCUUGGAGCGGCCGAUAUCGGAUGAGCUAUUUGGUGGGGUAAAGGCUAAACAAGGGAACAAUCCGUAGCUGGGUUGAGAGGAUGACCAGCAACACUGGGACUGAGACAGGGCCCAGACUCCUACGGGAGGCAGCAGUGGGGAAUUUUGGACAAUGGGGGAAACCCUGAUCCAGCCAUCCCGCGUGUAUGAGAAGGCCUUCGGGUUGUAAAGUACUUUUGGCAGAGAAGCGGUAUCUGCAGAAUAAGCACCGGCUAACUACGUGCCAGCAGCCGCGGUAAUUC